GAUACUUUUACUGUCUCAAAACACAAACAACAUGACUUUAUUGAUUGAUUGUUGCACUUUAUCUUUUUUAAGUAUGGGCAGCAAGGCAUGUUUUCAUGUUUUGCUUGUUUUCUUCAUCUCAAGUAAACCUAGCAUUCAUUCAUGGCCACUAAUCACUGUAACCAAAUCAUUCUCAUUUUUGUGGUACUGGUCCAAAAAGCUUUGUGCAUAUUUCAAUCAUUGCUGUUUUUGGAAAGGUUUCAUGAAAGAAGCAAUUUAGAAUUCACCAUGCAGCCACCUUGCUCAUGGUGUAAUAUAUCAUGCAAUAUAUUGUAGACUGAUCUUGUACUAAUAUUUACUUCUCUAGUU
rnacentral:lncRNA from 1 species